rnacentral:tRNA from 1 species
UAAAAUGAAAUCCAUUGAUGUUUCAUUUACAAUGAAAAUUUUGUUAUAUUUUUAACCAUUUUAU